rnacentral:rRNA from 1 species
AACGAACGCUGGCGGCAUGCCUAACACAUGCAAGUCGAACGAAGGCUUCGGCCUUAGUGGCGCACGGGUGCGUAACGCGUGGGAAUCUGCCCUUUGGUUCGGAAUAACAGCUGGAAACGGCUGCUAAUACCGGAUGAUGACGAAAGUCCAAAGAUUUAUCGCCAGAGGAUGAGCCCGCGUUGGAUUAGGUAGUUGGUGGGGUAAAGGCCUACCAAGCCGACGAUCCAUAGCUGGUCUGAGAGGAUGAUCAGCCACACUGGGACUGAGACACGGCCCAGACUCCUACGGGAGGCAGCAGUGGGGAAUAUUAGACGAUGGGCGCAAGCCUGAUCCAGCAAUGCCGCGUGAGUGAUGAAGGCCCUAGGGUUGUAAAUCUCUUUUACCCGGGAAGAUAAUGACUGUACCGGGAGAAUAAGCCCCGGCUAACUCCGUG